UCGUCACACUAUCAUUAACUGAAUCCAUAGGUUAAUGAGGCGAACCGGGGGAACUGAAACAUCUAAGUACCCCGAGGAAAAGAAAUCAACCGAGAUUCCCCCAGUAGCGGCGAGCGAACGGGGAGGAGCCCAGAGCCUGAAUCAGCAUAUGUGUUAGUGGAAGCGUCUGGAAAGGCGCGCGAUACAGGGUGACAGCCCCGUACACAAAAGCGCAUGUGCUGUGAGCUCGAUGAGUAGGGCGGGACACGUGGUAUCCUGUCUGAAUAUGGGGGGACCAUCCUCCAAGGCUAAAUACUCCUGACUGACCGAUAGUGAACCAGUACCGUGAGGGAAAGGCGAAAAGAACCCCGGCGAGGGGAGUGAAAAAGAACCUGAAACCGUGUACGUACAAGCAGUGGGAGCACAGGUUUACCUGUGUGACUGCGUACCUUUUGUAUAAUGGGUCAGCGACUUAUAUUCUGUAGCAAGGUUAACCGAAUAGGGGAGCCGGAGGGAAACCGAGUCUUAAUUGGGCGUUAAGUUGCAGGGUAUAGACCCGAAACCCGGUGAUCUAGCCAUGGGCAGGUUGAAGGUUGGGUAACACUAACUGGAGGACCGAACCGACUAAUGUUGAAAAAUUAGCGGAUGACCUGUGGCUGGGGGUGAAAGGCCAAUCAAACCGGGAGAUAGCUGGUUCUCCCCGAAAGCUAUUUAGGUAGCGCCUCGUGAACUCAUCUCCGGGGGUAGAGCACUGUUUCGGCUAGGGGGCCAUCCCGGCUUACCAACCCGAUGCAAACUGCGAAUACCGGAGAAUGUUAUCACGGGAGACACACGGCGGGUGCUAACGUCCGUCGUGAAGAGGGAAACAACCCAGACCGCCAGCUAAGGUCCCAAAGUCAUGGUUAAGUGGGAAACGAUGUGGGAAGGCCCAGACAGCCAGGAUGUUGGCUUAGAAGCAGCCAUCAUUUAAAGAAAGCGUAAUAGCUCACUGGUCGAGUCGGCCUGCGCGGAAGAUGUAACGGGGCUAAACCAUGCACCGAAGCUGCGGCAGCGACACUCAGGUGUUGUUGGGUAGGGGAGCGUUCUGUAAGCCUG
rnacentral:rRNA from 2 species